GCAAGGGGAGCGGCAGACGGGUGAGUAACACGUGGGAACGUACCCUUUGGUUCGGAACAACCCAGGGAAACUUGGGCUAAUACCGGAUAAGUCCGUAAGGAGAAAGAUUUAUCGCCAAAGGAUCGGCCCGCGUCUGAUUAGCUAGUUGGUAGGGUAAUGGCCUACCAAGGCUACGAUCAGUAGCUGGUCUGAGAGGAUGAUCAGCCACAUUGGGACUGAGACACGGCCCAAACUCCUACGGGAGGCAGCAGUGGGGAAUAUUGGACAAUGGGCGCAAGCCUGAUCCAGCCAUGCCGCGUGGGUGAUGAAGGCCCUAGGG
rnacentral:rRNA from 1 species